rnacentral:lncRNA from 1 species
CGGCGCCGGCGCCGGCUCUGCCGGCAGCAGCGGCCGGAGGCCGAUUCCGGCGACCUCCAAAUCCUACCAAAUUUUAACAGUAGCUUCCUCUCCACUCCCUCUACAACUUUCCUAACUAGCACAAACCCAAAAUCCAAGCCUAACUAGGUCAAACGAGCAAAAACAUCUAAAACACCCUAAAACUUCCACCUCUAAUUUCUCCUUACUUGAAGCGAACCGGAGUGAGCCUUUUUAGGGCAAGGCAGCUGGGUUGGAGACCUUCAAAACCGUACCAAGCUUGCCCGGAUUGGUGGCCGGAGGAGGGAGUUCCGGCGAAGGAGGACUUUGGGCAGCCCGAGGUUCUAGGCGGGAGAACUCCUUCACGGCGGCGCUAGGGCAGCCUUCACCGGCCUAGAAUGGAAGCUGGGUCAGAGGGCAACCGAACGGGACCGGAGCGGCGGCCUACGGUGGCUGGACAGCGGCGAGCUGAGCGGAGGAAACCGGCGGGGGAGAGAGAGCUCGGGAGGGAGAGAGAGAAGAGAGAAAGAAAAGAGAGAAGAAGAAGAAAUAGGCUUGGGCCUCCUACCCGGUCCAAGUCCUAUAUACAACCCAAUUCCAAAAAUAAAACACCCCGAAAAAAUAAUACCUGAAUAAAAAUUACCUUUUACUAGCUAAAAUUUACCAUUUUUACUGUCGUCAUAUUUUUCGCCUACGAAUAAUUCCCCGAAAUUAAUCGUCCCUCAAAACACCUCUAGGGACCGAUUAAACUAUUAUCUCAAUGACGGAGACGGUAAAAUUCUUAUUAUAACCAAGCUAGUAAAUAAGGUAAAAAUUUAAGAGUCGGGAUGUGACAAUUCUCCCCUCCUUAUAAAAAUUUCGUCCUCGAAAUUUACAUACCUGACAAAUCAAAGAGAUAAGGAUACUACUGCCUCAUUUGCUCCUUUGAUUCCCAAGUAGCUUCUUCUACUUGGUGACUCCUCCACAGAAUUUAACAAGAGGAAAAGAUUUGCUUCUAAGCAGUUGCUCCCUCUGGUCUAAAAACUGAACUGGAUCCUCAUCAAAGGUCAAAUCUUUCUACAAAAUAAUCGGCUGCUCUUGCAACCCAUGAGAGGAAUCGGCAAUAUACUUGUGAAACAUGAAUACAUGGAACACAUUAUGUAUCCUGGAUAAUUCUGGAGGCAAAACUAACUGAAACGCAAGAGAGCCAACUUGAUCUAAAAACCCGUAAGGACUAAUAAAUCUUGGACCAAGCUUUGCACGUUACUAAAACGUACCACCCCUUUCCAAGGAGACAAUUUCGAAAACACCCAAAAUACUCACUUGAAACUCAUGGUCCUUCAUGCGAACAUCUUUAUAAAUCUACUGGCUACUAAGAGCUGCUUUAAGUCUACCUCAAACUCCUUUAACCUUUUCAUUUAAAUCCUGAAUUAUUUUAAAUCUUCUCAAAGACUCUAAAUCCUUCAUUGAACUGCCACUAACGUUUACACGUAAGUGAGUUCAGUGAUACCUAUUCCAGAGUACGAGUACCCGUAGGUAUGCACACUCUUUCCUGAGCAAUGGAAAUAGUUAACCCAAAUAAAGCGCAUAAAUUUUCUAUCACCAUCGGGCUCAAAUCUCCUAACGUCACGCGACAACCUCGUCAAUACGCUGCUCACAGCUCGACAAUGAAACCCACUUGCUAGGAAACUAAAGUUCACACAUUCCCACAUGCUCAUAGGGGUCAAAAUUAAGACCCGUUAAGUUAAGUGAACAGACUUUUAAGGAUGCACACACUGCAGAACUGCAACAAUCACUCCUACUACCGAGACACCUCGCAGAGUCUUUCGCGGAGCCAAAGCUCUCGCAAGUCCACAAGAUAACCUUGCUCUGCCUAAAUGACCAGUCCACCAACAAAUGAUAACUUCGAUUUUCGAGAUAACAUUAUGAAAAGAUCAAUAGCACGUCACUUAGGUCUCUCCACCAAAAUUAUUACAUUACCAUUUUAUGCACCACCAGACUAGCAGCUUAUGGGAAUUCCAACUCUCCUGAUUCUACUAUCUCCACUAUUCUCUUUACCACAAACCAGAAGAUAAUCGGAAUCAUGACUAUCAUGUGGAAACUAGGAAUUCCUCCAUGCUCGCCAUAAACAAAACUGACUAAUAAUGCCCACGAAAAAUUGGCACAGUCAAUUCAUGAUGAUAAACUUGACGUUGAAAUCCACAUAAAUAGAACACCUCCUUACCUCUAACAACAAUAAAUCUGAUAGCAGAAAACAAUCUGAAAAUCAGAUAUGCUCAAGUCUCCUACACAUCCCAGGCCACGACUUCCCACCAAAAAGAUUCUUCGAAAACUGAGCUUGCAAUAACUUAUGCGACUAACAAAAGCAAAGACAAAUUUUUAUACAAGACCCACUACUACACCUUGUGGUUCACCAACUAACGAAAACCAUGAAUUCAAGCAAGAAUCAAAACUCAUGGCUUAACUCAACUCAAGCUCCAAAAGAAAUAAUUUAAAGCACACGAAAAGCAAGUCCUCUAACUUCGAGCUCAAAAGCUCCACAGAUCUCCGAUAUUCGCCAGAACCCGCUUCGAAAUCGCACUAGAAACCUCCACUAAUCAUCCUAACACCAACAGAUAAACGCACAACCAAAAAGCAAAGACCUCCCAAACAAAAACUUGGAUCAAUGAGUGGUCCCACCACAAAACGAUCCUGAGAAGAGACGUUGAUCAACCUAUCAAUAAAUCUACUAUUCGCCAUAAUAAUCUCUUAAUAAACCUUGACUCGAAAAACUUCUUGAGUCAACAGGGGAAAACCUUCUCCCAUAAUGCUACAUCAUGAAAUAUACCUACAACGACACAAACCAUCAAAUCAACAUCACCAUGCAACUCUUAAACUACCACAUAGGAUUUACGGCACCAAGACUCAUCGCUUAAAUGAACUCCAGCUCACUUGGGAUCACCACUGGAUUUAUUCCGGAACCAUGACUACGACACAACUACCAAAUAUCAUUUACCUCGAAACUUCGACAAAAUAACCAGAAUUUCUACCCUUCAAAUCGAAGCGUUGAAUCCGCAUUCCAAAAUUUCAAGCUCUGAGGAUACUACCUAAAAACUACAGUAGGAAUAAUUUAAAUAUUCCCACACACACCACAACCAAAACUUUACUCCAUCUCACCGAAUUAGAAAUAAGGUGAGAACAGAUUUGCCGCCUGUAGUCACCCAUUGUGAACGAAAUGAUGUCAAAACCAACUUCGAUCACAAAUUUGAGACUUACAUCAUCCACCCGGAAUGACAUUGCUUAAAAAAUACUUUGGACACCCACGCACUCUUGCUUUAUGAUCUAGUGGGUUCUAUUCUACCGCUGCCACUUCCACCAAUUUCAUGCAUCUACCUUAGAAUUUAUAAAACAAAAACUCAUGACAACACCUAUUUAAAAUUUCACCAUGUGUUGUCGUAAAACUGGAGUGACCACAACCAUCCCGCUCUCACUCCACCAUUACUUUUCGAUUCCAUUACAUUAUCAUCUUCCCAAACACUCAACAAAUUUGGAAACCAAACUUCAACACCUGGAAUUCCAAAAGAAUCCAUACUGGCCCCACGAUUAAAAUAAUAUAACCGACAACUCACUCCAUAAUUCCAAACUUGCUUGAAACUCAACAUUUAAUGCCAUCAAUAAAAUUAUAAAAUUCCCCAACUGUGGCACAACAAGAAGUUGUCACAACGCACUGACGAAUGACUUUUGUAAAACCAACAAUCCAAGUCAUUCUACUUAGUGUUUUAACAAACUUCAACUAACCCACAAUAGAGACCAAAAUCAUCAGAAAACUUACUAUUCAUCGACUACUAACAUCCAUCAUUUUCAAAAUAUAUUACCACUACCAUCUAGAUAAAAUGCUCUAAGGAUAGAAACAUAUCCAUAAUUAGCACUGCAGAAACCAGAACAUAUACCGCCAUAACCAAAAUUAUCCCAACAUGUUCCCAAUUGAUUUAUGUUGCAGAUAAAAUUGUCGGCAAAAUGGCUUUCAAUCAAGACUUAUCUAAAUUGACAUUUAGCUCUUUAUGCAGCAAUACCUUACCAUCCAAUCACUAGCCACAAAUUUCCUAAAACCUUGAUUAACCCAAGACUAGGGUCCUCAACAACUCAUAUAGGUACCCCUUUGAAUUACCAUUGGAUACCUCACCUCAUCAUUUCAACUAACUUUUUCAUCAAUAGAAUACACCACUACUUCGAACUUUCCUUCCAACUCAACUCUCUCAAAAGUCACGUAACUCAAUACGAAAAUCUCCCAUCUAUCAAUUUUGACUCCAAUCUUGCCCACAAAAAAAUGGACAACUCCAAGGCAUUAAUCAUCAACAUUUCACCCAACAGAUUUGCACAAGAUGCUCACCUUAGCAUCUUAAUCUGAAACCCUAAUCUUAAUUAACCCAAUCAAUCAUUGGAUACCUGAAAGGAAUGCUAACAAGCUUUUUCGUUCCCCACUCGCAAAACAACUCCAACAAUUAAUAUCAAAAAUAUUAAAUUAAUGAACCUUGGAAUAGGUGCAAACUAUACACCUUUUCAAAACUCGAAGGAUGAACACUCAAGAGGUCGGCGUACGGAGGCAUAGUCUUAGAGAUGUAGACAUUUAUGGCACACUACUGUCCAUAAAUAAAAGAAGAACAACUACAUCACAAACCUAAUCAACACAUAGUGUCUAAAGCAUAUAAUGCUAAUAGAUCCGCCGCGGUCGGACCAUCACUCUAUAGACACUAAGCAUGACCAAGAAUAUGAGAUAGUACUAAAAAGAGAAAGGAAACGAAUAACCUAGUGCUCUGAUACCAACUGACACGACCCACCCCAAAUUUCACCCUGAAACCCAGAAUAAGUCGUGCGGGGACCACCUCCAAGGAAAAUUUACCGAAAAAUCGGCAUAACCUCCCUUGAAAAUGGACAACCCUUCCUAAUAAUACCUGCAAACACUUCUGAAAAUUUAAAUCCAACCUUAAACUCCUGGAGUCUCCGUGCUCCCCAAAACACAACACCACCCAAAUUAUUUACUAAUCUAAACAAAUCUCAUAUCCAACCAUUAUUAGGUUCAGGGCAACUCUAACAGGAAAAAAAGGAAACAUAAUAAAUUAACAAACGGAAGCUAUAUGAUGACUAUGUCUCAUCCCCAUGUACGCCCGACCUCAACUAUGCAAUCCUGCAAACUGGGCAUUUUUAAAACGAAGAGCCCAGGGGAAAACAUUUGAAACACGUUAGAGUGAGUGGACAAAAAUAAAUUAACGAAUAAAAUAUUUAUGUUUCCCCAAAUCAAUUUCCAAGGAAAAUCGAAUGCAUGCUGCAAGCGAUAAAACUUUUAUCUCAUAAAUGUCGAGCCUCUCAGGCUCUAUAAUAUAUGUAUCUAUUUACACACGUUCAUACUCCCUAUAUAAAUUCAUGGGUCUAUAUAGGGCUACUACGCUCGCGUCCAACGCUCACGUCACGCCUUAAUGCGGUGCUACACUACGCCAUUAAGGUGGACAGACGGGUGUAUAAAUAUGUGCCCAUACCCCCUGUAUGAAUUAACCACUCAUAUAGGGCUACUACGCUUCGCGUCCAACGCUCACGUCACACCAUAAUGCGGCUAUAUGCUACGCCAUUAAGGUGGACAGACACAUAGGGCUAGCUAGCAUUUUUAUACAUACUCUCCUCAUAAAUACAUAUUUAUAUUCACCGAAAAUCCCAUUUUCGGUAACUCUCCAAGAGAAAUAAAAUCGUCAAAAUAAAAUGACGUCAAAAUGCUCCACAACAUUAAUUGUUCAUCUAUGAACUAUAGCAUGCAUUUUAUUUAAAACAAAAGUCCACUCAUAACUCUAGGCAUAAGCCCGACGAAAUCCAAAUCGCCACUCCAAUGAGGUUUCCUCGAAACCUGGCACAAAUUUAAAAAUUAAUUCCCAACUAAAACUCCAAUAUUUAAACAAAAUAGGCAAAAUUAACCGAGAGCCAUAGCUACGCUCAUCAUUGCCUAACUUCGAUAUUCUUAAAUCGAAACGAUCCGAACUUAAAUAUUAUACUCGGCAGCCGUAAUUACAACCUCCCCAAAAAUACGACUUAAAUCCUACGGCCGGAUUCUACAUUAAUUAACCGCCAAAAAUACCACACUUCGGAAAUUCAUAAACCUAUCCAAAACUCAUCCAAAAAUUCCAUAACUCACUUCAACAAACUCCCCUUAAUAUUCUAAAUUUAAAGCCCUAAAAAUCUUCCAAACAGUGGCGGCGCCGGCGGAGGCUCUGCCAGCAGCAGCGGCCGGAGGCCGAUUCCGGCGACCUCCAAAUCCUAUCAAAUUUUAACAGUAGCUUCCUCUCCACUCCCUCUACAACUUUCCUAACUAGCACAAACCCAAAAUCCAAGCCUAACUAGGUCAAACGAGCAAAAACAUCUAAAACACCCUAGAACUUCCACCUCUAAUUUCUCAUUACCUGAAGCGAACCGGAGUGAGCCCUUUUAGGGCAAGGCAGCUGGGUUGGAGACCUUCAAAACUGUACCAAGCUUGCCCGGAUUGGUGGCCAGAGGAGGGAGUUCCGGCGAAGGAGGACUUUGGGCAGCCCGAGGUUCUAGGCGGGAGAACUCCUUCACGGCGGCGCUAGGGCAGCCUUCACCGGCCUAGAAUGGAAGCUGGGUCGGAGGGCAACCGAAUGGGACCGGAGCGGCGGCCUACGGUGGCCGGACGGCGGCGAGCUGAGCGGAGGAAACCGGCGGGGGAGAGAGAGAAGAGAGAAAGAAAAGAGAGAAGAAGAAGAAAUAGGCUUGGGCCUCCUACCCGGUCCAAGUCCUAUAUACAACCCAAUUCCAAAAAUAAAACACCCCGAAAAAAUAAUACCCGAAUAAAAAUUACCUUUUACUAGCUAAAAUUUACCAUUUUUACCGUUGUCAUGUUUUUCUCCUACGAAUAAUUCCCCGAAAUUAAUCGUCCCUCAAAACACCUCUAGGGACCGAUUAAACUAUUACCUCAAUGACGGAGACGGUAAAAUUCUUAUUAUAACCAAGCUAGUAAAUAAGGUAAAAAUUUAAGGGUCGGGAUGUGACACGAAUUCUGUUUAUGCACUUCAACAGAAUUCCUGGCAAACUGUAUUUUGUGUUUCUUAAAAAAUAUUAAGGGAAGAAGAGAAGGAUUUUUAUUCUUUUGAUUUUUCUGGUUUGAUCGUCUCUUAUAGACUACGAAUUGAACAAUUGCAAUGCUUCGGUAGAACUAAAACGUUGCAAUGGUUUGUUCAAAACCAGACUCUUCCAACAGACAUAUCUGUUGCAAAAUAGAAUCCAGAUAAAAGG